rnacentral:rRNA from 1 species
UACGAGGGGCAAGCGUUGUUCGGAAUUAUUGGGCGUAAAGGGUGCGUAGGUGGUGAGGUAAGUCGGAUGUGAAAUCUCCGGGCUCAACCCGGAAACUGCAUUGGAAACUACCUUGCUUAGGGUUUGAGGGGGACUGGAAGUUCUCGGUGUAGCAGUGAAAUGCGUAGAUAUCGAGAGGAACACCAGUGGCGAAGGCGAGUCCCUGGAAAACACCCGACACUGAGGCACGAAAGCUAGGGGAGCAAAACAGG